rnacentral:rRNA from 1 species
AGUCGAACGGUAACAGGUUAAGCUGACGAGUGGCGAACGGGUGAGUAAUAUAUCGGAACGUGCCCAGUCGUGGGGGAUAACUGCUCGAAAGAGCAGCUAAUACCGCAUACGACCUGAGGGUGAAAGCGGGGGAUCGCAAGACCUCGCGCGAUUGGAGCGGCCGAUAUCAGAUUAGGUAGUUGGCGGGGUAAAGGCCCACCAAGCCAACGAUCUGUAGCUGGUCUGAGAGGACGACCAGCCACACUGGGACUGAGACACGGCCCAGACUCCUACGGGAGGCAGCAGUGGGGAAUUUUGGACAAUGGGCGCAAGCCUGAUCCAGCCAUGCCGCGUGCGGGAAGAAGGCCUUCGGGUUGUAAACCGCUUUUGUCAGGGAAGAAAAGGUUCUGGUUAAUACCUGGGACUCAUGACGGUACCUGAAGAAUAAGCACCGGCUAACUACGUGCCAGCAGCCGCGGUAAUACGUAGGGUGCAAGCGUUAAUCGGAAUUACUGGGCGUAAAGCGUGCGCAGGCGGUUAUGCAAGACAGAGGUGAAAUCCCCGGGCUCAACCUGGGAACUGCCUUUGUGACUGCAUGGCUAGAGUACGGUAGAGGGGGAUGGA